rnacentral:misc_RNA from 1 species
GUGAAUCAUCGAAUCUUUGAACGCAUAUUGCACUCUCUGGUAUUCCGGAGAGUAGGCCAGGUUGAGGUUAAUGAAGAAGAAUCUUUAACCAAUUUGUUUGGUUAAAGUGUGUGAGUUCUCGGCGUUUAUAUCGGUAGCUCGAACUAAAUGGUCAAGUCUCAUUUAAGUCGAGACGCGUAACAAUAUUAUUUCGCGAAAUCUUCAUUAUGUGACUAUCAAGUUUUGAUGCAUACAGAUUUUGUUUGUAUGCGAUCAAUACAAAUAUGUUGAACAUUACCUCAAAGCAGGUAGCAUUACCCGG